UAAUACGGAGGGUGCAAGCGUUAAUCGGAAUUACUGGGCGUAAAGCGCGCGUAGGCGGUUUGAUAAGUUGGAUGUGAAAGCCCAGGGCUCAACCUUGGAACUGCAUUCAAAACUGUCAGGCUAGAGUACGGUAGAGGGGGGUAGAACUCCACGUGUAGCGGUGAAAUGCGUAGAGAUGUGGAGGAAUACCAGUGGCGAAGGCGGCCCCCUGGAUCGAUACUGACGCUAAGGUGCGAAAGCGUGGGGAGCAAACAGGAUUAGAUACCCUGGUAGUCCACGCUGUAAACGAUGUCAACUAGCCGUUGGAAGGGUAAUCCUUUUAGUGGCGCAGCUAACGCGAUAAGUUGACCGCCUGGGGAGUACGGUCGCAAGAUUA
rnacentral:rRNA from 1 species